AGAGUUUGAUCAUGGCUCAGAUUGAACGCUGGCGGAAUGCUUUACACAUGCAAGUCGAACGGCAGCAUAGAGAGCUUGCUCUCUGAUGGCGAGUGGCGAACGGGUGAGUAAUAUAUCGGAACGUGCCUAGUAAUGGGGAAUAACUAGCUGAAAGGUUAGCUAAUGCCGCAUACGACCUACGGGUGAAAGCAGGGGAUCUUCGGACCUUGCGUUAUUAGAGCGGCCGAUAUCUGAUUAGCUUGUUGGUGGGGUAAUGGCCUACCAAGGCGACGAUCAGUAGCUGGUCUGAGAGGACGAUCAGCCACACUGGAACUGAGACACGGUCCAGACUCCUACGGGAGGCAGCAGUGGGGAAUUUUCCGCAAUGGGCGAAAGCCUGACGGAGCAAUACCGCGUGAGGGAAGACUGCCUAUGGGUUGUAAACCUCUUUUUUCAGGGAGGAAUAAAAUGACGUGUACCUGAAGAAUAAGCAUCGGCUAACUCCGUGCCAGCAGCCGCGGUAAGACGGAGGAUGCAAGUGUUAUCCGGAAUCACUGGGCGUAAAGCGUCUGUAGGUGGUUUAAUAAGUCAACUGUUAAAUCUUGAGGCUCAACCUCAAAAUCGCAGUCGAAACUAUUAGACUAGAGUAUAGUAGGGGUAAAGGGAAUUUCCAGUGGAGCGGUGAAAUGCGUAGAGAUUGGAAAGAACACCGAUGGCGAAGGCACUUUACUGGGCUAUUACUGACACUCAGAGACGAAAGCUAGGGUAGCAAAUGGGAUUAGAUACCCCAGUAGUCCUAGCUGUAA
rnacentral:rRNA from 1 species